rnacentral:rRNA from 1 species
UACGUAGGGUGCGAGCGUUAAUCGGGAAUUACUGGGCGUAAAGCGUGCGCAGGCGGCGCGUUAAGACAGGUGUGAAAGCCCCGAGCUUAACUUGGGAAUUGCGCUUGUGACUGGCGUGCUGGAGUGUGGCAGAGGGAGGUGGAAUUCCACGUGUAGCAGUGAAAUGCGUAGAGAUGUGGAGGAACACCGGAUGGAGCGGAAGGCAGCCUCCGUCGGGCCAAGCACUGGACCGCUC